rnacentral:rRNA from 2 species
GGGUGAGUAACACGGGUAACCUGCCCAUAASACUGGGAUAACUCCGGGKAAASCGGGGSUAAUACCGGAUAACAUUUUGAACCGCAUGGUUCGAAAUUGAAAGGCGGCUUCGGCUGUCACUUAUGGAUGCGCGUCGCAUUAUAGUUGGUGAGGUAACGGCUCCCAAGGCAACGAUGCCGACCUGAGAGGGUGCGGCCACACUGGGACUGAGACACGGCCUCCUACGGGAGGCAGCAGUAGGGAAUCUUCCGCAAUGGACGAAAGUCUGACGGAGACGCCGCGAGUGAUGAUCGGGUCGAAACUCUGUUGUUAGGGAAGAACAAGUGCUAGUUGAAUAAGCUGGCACCUUGACGGUACCUAACCAGAAAGCCACGGCUAACGUGCCAGCAGCCGCGGUAAUACGUAGGUGGCAAGCGUUAUCCGGAAUUAUGGCGUAAAGCGCGCGCAGGUGGUUUCUUAAGUCUGAUGUGAAGCCCACGGCUCAACCGUGGAGGGUCAUUGGAAACUGGGAGACUUGAGUGCAGAAGAGUGGAAUUCCAUGUGUAGCGGUGAAAUGCGUAGAGAUAUGGAGGAACCCAGUGGCGAAGGCGACUUUCUGGUCUGUAACUGACACUGAGGCGCGAAAGCGUGGGGAGCAAACAGGAUUAGAUACCCUGGUAGUCCACGCCGUAAACGAUGARWGSUAAGUGUUAGAGGGUUUCCGCCCUUUAGUGCUGAAGUUAACGCAUAAGCACUCCCG